CUUGAAAAAGGGAGUUCAAGAAGAGCUUCGAAGAAGCUUUCUUGAUGGAGGGGAGUGGCAGACGGGUGAGUAACGCGUGGGAAUCUACCGAGCCCUGCGGGAUAGCUCCGGGAAACUGGAAUUAAUACCGCAUGCGCCCUACGGGGGGAAGAUUUAUCGGGGUUUGAUGAGCCCGCGUUGGAUUAGCUAGUUGGUGGGGUAAAGGCCUACCAAGGCGACGAUCCAUAGCUGGUCUGAGAGGAUGAUCAGCCACAUUGGGACUGAGACACGGCCCAAACUCCUACGGGAGGCAGCAGUGGGGAAUAUUGGACAAUGGGCGCAAGCCUGAUCCAGCCAUGCCGCGUGAGUGAUGAAGGCCUUAGGGUUGUAAAGCUCUUUCACCGGAGAAGAUAAUGACGGUAUCCGGAGAAGAAGCCCCGGCUAACUUCGUGCCAGCCGCCGCCGUAAAAC
rnacentral:rRNA from 1 species